rnacentral:rRNA from 1 species
UACGUAGGGAGCAAGCGUUGUUCGGAUUUACUGGGCGUAAAGCGCGCGUAGGCGGCGCGGUAAGUCACUUGUGAAAUCUCUGAGCUUAACUCAGAACGGCCAAGUGAUACUGCAGUGCUAGAGUGCAGAAGGGGCAAUCGGAAUUCUUGGUGUAGCGGUGAAAUGCGUAGAUAUCAAGAGGAACACCUGAGGUGAAGGCGGGUUGCUAGGCUGACACUGACGCUGAGGCGCGAAAGCCAGGGGAGCAAACGGG